UCAAGUGAAUAAGUGCAUAUGGCGGAUGCCUUGGCGAUUACAGGCGAUGAAGGACGUGGUAGUCUACGAAAAUUUUCGGGGAGCUGGCAAACAAGCUUUGAUCCGGAAGUGUCCGAAUGGGGAAACCCACCCGCAAGGGUAUCUGUCUCUGAAUACAUAGGAGACAAGAGGCGAACCGAGUGAACUGAAACAUCUAAGUAACUCGAGGAAAAGAAAUCAACCGAGAUUCCGAUAGUAGUGGCGAGCGAAAUCGGAGCAGCCUGUUAUUUUUAGCACGUGUGUUAGUAGAACGGAAUGGAAAGUCCGGCCAUAGAGGGUGAUAGCCCCUUAUACGAAAACCCGCGUGUGGAACUAGGGUAACGACAAGUAGGGCGGGACACGUGAAAUCCUGUCUGAACAUGGGGGGACCAUCCUCCAAGGCUAAAUACUCGUAAUCGACCGAUAGUGAACUAGUACCGUGAGGGAAAGGUAAAAAGAACCCCGGAAGGGGAGUGAAAUAGAUCCUGAAACCGUAUGCAUACAAACAGUGGGAGCCCGCAAGGGUGACUGCGUACCUUUUGUAUAAUGGGUCAGCGACUUACAUUCAGUAGCAAGCUUAACCGAUAGGGGAGGCGCAGCGAAAGCGAGUCCUAAUAGGGCGAUUCAGUUGCUGGGUGUAGACCCGAAACCAAGUGAUCUAUUCAUGGCCAGGAUGAAGGUGCGGUAACACGUACUGGAGGUCCGAACCCACAAAUGUUGAAAAAUUUGGGGAUGAGCUGUGGAUAGGGGUGAAAGGCUAAACAAACUUGGAGAUAGCUGGUUCUCUCCGAAAACUAUUUAGGUAGUGCCUCGUAUAUCAUUCUCGGGGGUAGAGCACUGUUAUAGCUAGGGGGGUCAUAAGACCUUACCAAACUAUUGCAAACUCCGAAUACUGAGAAAUGCAAUUACGGGAGACAGACCAUGGGUGCUAACGUCCGUGGUCAAGAGGGAAACAACCCAGACCGACAGCUAAGGUCCCAAAUGACGUGCUAAGUGGAAAACGAAGUGGGAAGGCAUAGACAGCUAGGAGGUUGGCUUAGAAGCAGCCAUCCUUUAAAGAAAGCGUAAUAGCUCACUAGUCGAGUCGUCCUGCGCGGAAGAUGUAACGGGGCUAAGCACGUAACCGAAGCUUCGGGUGCAUAUUUAUAUGCACGGUAGGAGAGCGUUCUGUAAGCCUGCGAAGGUGUCUUGUGAAGGAUGCUGGAGGUAUCAGAAGUGCGAAUGCUGACAUGAGUAGCGAUAAAGGGUGUGAAAAGCACCCUCGCCGAAAGCCCAAGGUUUCCUGCACAACGUUCAUCGGUGCAGGGUGAGUCGGCCCCUAAGGCGAGGCAGAAAUGCGUAGUCGAUGGGAAACAGGUUAAUAUUCCUGUACCUCAAUUUAAUGCGAUGUGGGGACGGAGAAGGUUAAGUCAGCCGGGUGUUGGAUGUCCCGGUUCAAGCGUGUAGACAGAUUCUUUAGGCAAAUCCGGAGAGUCAAUGUCAAGGCGUGAUAACGAGUGAGCUUGCUCAUGAAGUGACUGAUACCAUGCUUCCAAGAAAAGCCACUAAGCUUCAGUUAAGUUGAGACCGUACCGCAAACCGACACAGGUGGGCAGGAUGAGAAUUCUAAGGCGCUUGAGAGAACCCAGGAGAAGGAACUCGGCAAACUAGCACCGUAACUUCGGGAGAAGGUGCGCCCCGGUAGGUUGUAGCAAUUUACUUGCGAAGGCCGAUGGGGUUGCAGUGAAAAGGUGGCUGCGACUGUUUAAUAAAAACACAGCACUGUGCAAACACGAAAGUGGACGUAUACGGUGUGACGCCUGCCCGGUGCCGGAAGGUUAAAUGAUGGGGUGCAAGCUCUUGAUUGAAGCCCCGGUAAACGGCGGCCGUAACUAUAACGGUCCUAAGGUAGCGAAAUUCCUUGUCGGGUAAGUUCCGAC
rnacentral:rRNA from 1 species